CUUUCUCUCUCUGUCUUGUUCUUCUUACGAAGCGCGCGCUUAUUUGGAGAACAUGACGCGCUCUCCUAUUGUGUGUAUGUGAAUGACGUCUCGCUGAACACAGAGGACAGCGAGCGAAGAAGAACUGGGAUUUUGCAGAUAUUUGCUGGUCCUGGAGGGAAGCCACUUACAACCUUAGUGUGGGUCUCAGUCCUCCGACUUAAUGCUUCUGCCUUAAGACUAAAAUAGCUGCAGCCAAAUGCCCUAAAGCUGCCUCCUUCUCUCAAAUUACAAGGACUACAGCACCAUCUCCAGCAGUGACACGACAUGGGCACCAAAUGCUUCCAAACCGGAGCACCGAGACAACGAGGAAUGAAACUAUGACAAAGGUUGCAUUUCAUUUCAGCCUGUCUAAGAUGAACCAUCACUAACAAUAUACAUCCUGUGACUUACACGGGCCUGUGGCCUAAAUGACAUAACUCAAUCUUGUGUGGUGUCCUAGGGGAAAUAAACUCCAAUCCCAUGCCCUG